CAAACAAAGAAUAUAUAUAAUCUUAAAUGACAAAAAGUAACUCAAUAUAUAUAUAUAUUGUUCUAUUCUGGAUAUUCAUUUCUCUCUCUUCUUUGUUUUCUCUCUCAUCUCUAUAAUAUCACCCCCAAAUCACUAUAAUCAAUAAUCCAAAUCCACACAACCAAUUCAACCACCCAAUCACCAGUUCGGAUCACUGCCAACAAACAAACAAACAAAUCGCCAAUUGGGAUUUUGGUAAAAUUCAGUCAAAGAUUUUACCCAUCAAGCCCGCCUCCGACAAUUGGGGUGAUCGGUGACUUUGUGGACGCGACUGUGAUGAUCGGCGAUGAAGCGGCAGCCGGUGCUAAUGAGCAUGGUUGUGUUCGGCGUUGGGAGGACACAAGAGGUGUCACUAUGAAAAACGGAAGCUUGAAGCAGAGCGGCUGUCAGAGGCACUAUCCCGGAGAAUACAUCGAGCUUUAUGCUCGGUUAUGGCUGCUGGUUUGUGGAGCUGGCGAUUCAAGUGGUGACGAUGACGAUAAAGUGGCUGUGGAGGACGGCAAGAUCGGAACGCCGUGAAUAAGCUUGAAUAAUUUGUUCACGUGGGUUCUUCCUUCUUCUCUGAGGCCAUCGUCGCCGGUGAUUCGCAGCUGCCGUUCCGAGCUCGCCCGAAGUUGACUGAAGUGAUCAAAGGUGAAUUGCAGCUCCUCAUUUGACCGGGCUCGCGUUGAAGCUAUUUGUUCGCUUAGUUGAGGCUCCGCUAAUUGGUUCUUUGAUUCUAUCUUCUUUGAAGAAGCAGAAUCAAAUGGUUGAGGUCUAAUCAUGUGCAAAUUCUAAUUAUAUUUCUAUAUAUACAUACCUACAAAUGCUUUUUAAAUGUAUAUGCAGAUUUUUAUAUACACACACUUCCUUUUAUCUUUUAUAUUUAAUAAA